CAAGCGGAGAGGAGGGGGGGGAAAUGUAUAUAGGUAGUUAAGAGAUCUCCCUGCCUGCCUCCUCCCCUCCCCCGAGAAGGGCAGCUCCGAUCCUGCAGAAACGCCUGAAACUGUUUCAGACCAAGGUCAGUUUGUUGGGUGUCAUAAGGCCCACAAAAAGCACCAUACACCGGAUGACAGAAAAGCCUGAGAAAACUGUGAUCUGCUCAUUUCCCCUGUUCCUCAAUGUACUUUCUGUGACCAGCCACCUCAGACACUUGGAACUGAUUCCAAGGAAGUUACCAGAGACCCUUCCUUGUCAAUUCAUCAGAGCAGUGUCAGGGUUGAUGACUAUCUCUGCUUGCACAGUGUCAUGGUUUGGUGGGCUGUGUUAUGGUAAAGAAAUCAGUGUGAUUCAAUCUGAAAUCUAGUUUCUGUUACUUUUUAAUGUCCACAAAAGAGACAGUUUAUCUUGCAAUGUUAUAAAUUACAUGCUCAUUUGACAUAGUGGACCUUUGUAACCUGGUUUUGUUAUUUUACUUGGUCUUGUUUCAUGUGUGCACACCUUUAAAAAGUUAAUUUUUUUUGUGUGCCUAUGCACCCCCAUCUCAAAAAGAAACAAUCUCUGUCUAGCAAGCACAUGUUUGUCAAUAGAGCUUUAGAAACACUGACUUUGCUGAUUGCUUUACAGCCCUAGUAGAGGAAUGUACAACAUGCAAUCCUCAACAUGCCAGUCUCCCAAGUGAGGAGAUUAUUAUAGCCUCUCCAGCGGGAGAUUAACUCUCCCAGCAAGGUAGGCACUGACGUCACCCCCAGCCUCAAUCUGCCCCCGACCUCAGCAUCACCAGCACUGGCAGAGCAGCAUCAAGUGCUCACAGUCUUGAAGACAGCUGGCCAUGCAGAGCCCUGACUAAGACAGGAAACAAAUUCAGAAAUGCUAGAUGGGAGUCAUGCAGGAAUCUGGGCACAUAAGUGCUGUAACAAAUAAAUGUGUGUAUAGGUCAGGGUAAAAGCUGUUUUCUGCUUGUAAUCCAGAGCAGCUACACAUUAGAAUUACUGUUUAAAAUAAGCAUUGCAGCACUGCAGAAACUAUUCUACAUUGCUUAGGUAUUAAUAUUCCCAUCAGUCACAUUAGUAAAAAGCUUUCCUUAUAUUAAGAGAAUUUUUUCCUAGUAACUGAACUGUUUCACAUUUAAAAAACAAACACCUUUCUUCCUAAUUAACCUGUUAAUUAUUCAACCUAACUUCUUUCAUGAUGUAAAAUUUUGAAACAUUUUAAGUACAAAAUAUUUUUUUCUUAUCACGCAUUCAUGUCUACCAUUCCAAAAAGCUCACAACUCUGAUAAUCCAUCUGACAACACAGUCAAUCAAAAAUCCAUCCUACAGCCGUUUCCAAAGAAACGAACACAUAGCCAGGAAGACAGAAUGCUUAAGCUGGAAGGAAACCAACCAACGGAACACAACAACAGCAACAACAAAGCUCCAAGCAUUUUCCCUUUUCCUUUAAAUUUCCUGAUUUGUGGAUAUAUCAUAGGGACACAGAUAAUGGUAAAUGCAUUUACUUUAAAAGUGGUGGUGGUGUAUUGGAGGUUUUGUUUGUUUUGUUUUGUUUUUAAUCUAGAAAGCUGGAUGCUUUCCAGCUCUUCCUACACAUACUCACAAAAAAAUACAAACCCUCCACCAAAAAAAAAAAAAAAACCCAGCACCCAAAGAACCAAAAAACUUUUUUAAAAGGGACAAGUAUGUACAAAAGGCAAACACAAUCAUGGAACUAAAAAAAUACAUCUGAAAUAUCAUUGCUCACACCUCCUCCUCAUUCUUUGGCUAUCUGUCUCCUGCUUAGGCCUCCAUCUAGUGUGGAGUUUUAGGUGGGUGGACACAAUGGGCUUAUUCACAAACAUCAAGCUCAGCACAUGCCUAAGGCUUUGAAGGCUGAAGACCAUGGUGGGUCAGCUUCUUGGGACAAGGACUCAUGGGAUUUUUCAGAAGGCUAAAACAGAGAAGUUCUGUGGGAGCUGGUCACCUUCCUGCUUUAUCUCCUGAUAAACACAUUCUCUGUCUCUGAGGUACCUAGAGCACUUCUGAAACAGCUGAAGUUAUAUAUAAGCAUUUUCCUAUUUUCCAAAUGCUUAUUCUGUAUACUGAGGCUGAAAGCACAUUGUAGCAAAUAAACUGUUUAAAGUAACAAACAUACAUAUACACAAUCAUAAAGGUAUACUGCGUAAAUUUUAUAAACUAAAAUUAAAAUUUUGAAGUUAAAAAUCAAGCAGUAAGCUCACCUGACAAACCUUAUUUCUCCCUUCUCUCCCACAUGUACUCAUGUAUUAUGAAAGUUGUUCAUUUCAUGUUUGCAUAAAAUUUUUUCUAGACCUCUGUGCUUGAUUAACAAAAGGCUUCAAUGUUAUGUUUUCUGCUUUAUUUUUGUAAGUAUGCCCCAUGCUUUAUUCAUUACACAUUUAUUCAGAUCCCACUCUGAAUACAGUUAUUAAUUUCCUCAUGGGCAUUUUAUGGAGCUUGUUGCUACAGUAUUUUAUGGGCUUCAAAAAUAUUAAUUAUUUUAGUUUCAUAAUACAUCCCUCAGAUGAGGGGAUAUUGUGACAGGAUAUGAAUAUUACAUUUGGAAAACAGUUAUAGAUUGCCUGAUUUGAUAUCUUGUAGACCUGUCAGGACUUGGCACUACAGAAAAGCUUAUUUCUUCAAGGCCUGGUUCCCACUGCUUUCAGUUGCAGUAAUAUCACUCACUGACUAUCUAACUACCUCUAAUCAAACCCUGGAGUUUUCAGGCAUCUGAAAAUGAGAAGCAAAUAUUUAGCAAGAGGUGCAAUUUCAAAGCCUUGAGCCAGCUUUAUCAAGGAACUUGCUGGCAGAGGCAAGGGCUAAGACACAAAUUUUAAACUGUUCAGCUCUCUCAAGACUUUGGACACUGCUUCUCUUCCCAUAAUUCUUUUUCUUUAACACUUCCUUCAGUUUCUAGAAUAAAGAUGACCAGGCUCCUGCCAGCAACAGCCCCACCUUUAACAAUACUCACAUGAUUCAGCCACUGUUUUGAAUCUUCGGCUCCUCAGCACAGUACCUGUUAACAUGAAUAGGUACUGCUGCCUUUGGCCCAGCAUUUGAAAAGAUGUGUCUGUCUUCACCACUGGAUUUCUUGGUUAUUACUGGCAGAAGAGGGAAUCUUGGGAUCCCUUCCAAACUUUGGGAGAGGGUGUUUUUUAAAUAGCAAACUCCCAUCUGCUUGCUUCCCAUGUCCAUGCUUUGCCUCGUCUUGGCUUUUUAUUUCAAGCCUGUCUUCAUUCUCUCUUCAGUCUUGGCUGCUCAUCCUACUUUUAUUUUUCUUAUCCAGUUAAUGGUAGUUUUUGAUUUGUAUCCCAGUUCCAGCUGCCCUAGUUGCACUUUUCUUUAAUUUUGUUCUGGGACUUCUCACUCUCAGAUUCAUCUUCAGCUGUGCAAGGUUCUUUUUUGUUGUUGUUGUUUUGUUUUCACUCCCUUUAUUUGAUCCCUUUAGUUGAUCUUUCUCUUAUGUCUUCUCACCCAAUAUAACUUUUAGUUAUGUUGACAUCCACCUCCCUUGUCUGUUCUUUACUCCAGGUGUGCACCAUGAAGUCACUCUUGCUCCUUGACCUUUUUUCCCAGUUGCAGAGUUGUCCUCACUUCAGCCCUUACACUGAUGUUCAGGCUGUUUUUGCUCUCUGCUACCCUCCAUCCAUUUCUUCACUUGGUUACUUCUCAGGCCUGGUUUCCUUAUGCAAAAAAUUUCGUUGUCCCAAAAUAUAUCCGCCAUUCCCGUUGCAGAUUUCUGCUAAUCACACCCCAUAUUCUUUCUCAGGAGCUUUAUGCUCACUUUACCAUGCUGCAAGAUCAGUCCUUCUUCCCCACCCAUCCAAGUGAAACAACCUUCCCCUCCCCAUCCUACAGAUACAACUGAGGUGGAUUAAGCACCUGAAAUCAUUGCUUCUUCUCAGUUAAGUUCCAUAUCCAAGCCAUGGCACAGCUCAAAAUUAUCAUAUAAUAUGUCACUGCAGAUGAGACACUCAGAUCACAGAAUCACAGAAUACGCUGAUUUGGAAGGGACCCACAAGGAUCAUUGAGUCCAAGUCCUGGCCCUGUACAGGACCAUCCAUCCCCAAGAAUCACACCAUGUGCCUGAGAGUGUCAUCCAAAUGCUUGAGUAUCAUCCAAAUGCUUCUUGAACUCUGUUAGACUUUUUGCUGUGACAACUUCCCUGGGGAGCCUGUCCCAGUGCUAAACCACCCUCUGGGUGAAGAACCUUUUCCUAAUAUCCAGCCCAAAACUCCCCAACACAACUUCAGGCCAUGUCCUUGGGUCCUGGUCAGAACAGAGAAGAGAUCAGUGCUUGCCCCUCCUCUUCCUCUCACAAGGAAGUUGUAACUGCAAUGAGGUCUCCCCUCAGUCUCCUCUUCUCCAGACUAAACAGCUCAGCUGCUCCUCAUAAGGCUUCCCCUCAAGGCCCUUCACUAUCUUCAUUGCCCUCCUUUGGAUGGUUUCUAAUAGUUUAAUAUCUUUCUUAUAUUGUGGUGACCAAAAUGCGCUGAAAGCUAUUACUUUGUCACUCAACUCUCUUUAGAAAUUGAUACUGUCAAUUUUGUUCAUUUUUAUGAACAGUCAAUACUGUUCAUUUUUAUUCUUAUCUUUAUAAGAAAUUAUUUCAUUUGGUGUUAAAUAUCAAGUUAUUGAAUACAGGUUUUGAUAUUUGCAUAUUUCAUUUGACUCUGAAUAUGGUUGCUUGAUGUAUUUGUAAUGAGUCCUUACUCCUAUGCAAGUUUCAUUUACCUUAAUGAAAAGAUCAGUUUGCCAAUUGUCUCCAUCAGUAAAUUUGGAUCUUCAGUUAUUAUCACUUGUUACAUUUCUUUCCCUAACUUCCCACCUCAGUGUCACCACAGGAACAGAAUAUUUGUUUGGGAAAUAGAGACACAGGAACACACCUGAGUUUUGCUUUAAAAAACAACAGCAAACUAGGUGGGAAAACUCUCUUCUGAAACCCAAACUGUGAUUAUAUUUUAGUAUCAGAACUUUAACAAGGAAUCAUGUUGGUGUAGCCUACAUUUUUAAUGUAGUCCUUCAGCCAGUGUAGACAUAAUUGAGUUUAUAAAAGGUAGUUUGUUAGAGAAGUGAUAAAGCACCAGAAGCAGCUCACAGAGUUUUGUGUGAAAGAAGAGACUUGUAUUUACAAAUAAAAUUCAUUACUAAUUUUUAACAGUGAGUAUUUAAUGAACCCAGUAUAGAAAAUACUGCCUGGCAAAGUCUCUGGUUAAUAUCCAGGUUAAGCUCUGCAACAAAACCAAUCUCACCUGUACCAGCACUAGGCCUUUCUUACAGAUUACCCAGCACAUGUAGCUAAUAAUAAUUAGAUGUGGUUUUCUUCCCAGACUCAACUCCCUCCUGUCCUGAGCAAACCUGGGUUUUACCAAGCCACCAGAGCAUCUGCAGUGCGCGGCCCCAUCGUCUCGACAUUUGCCUGUUUUCCCAAUAGUUUGCCCAGCUUGCAAGCCAUGGCGUGGAAGGUAACGUGCAGGCGUCUGGCAUCCCUGCCCUCCCCAUCCAGUUGUGAUUUUUUGGCGUCCUGCGACCCCUAGUGAGAGCCGGGGCGGGCGGGAGGGCAGCAGCCAAGCCUGCCCCCGCCGCUGGCCCGCCGGCCCGGGGCCGCCAGCGCCGCCGGGAUCCCGCCAGGCACCCGCUGUUUCCAGGUCGCGGGCAAAAACAUCUCUCUAGGGGUUUCCGUUUCCCCCGUUAACUGACUGAAAGCUACAAUAAAAACACAAUAACGCGUUGCCUCUGGUCGCUUCGAAACAAUGCGGUGAUUGUGUUGCAACUUCACACAGAAAGCUGCUGUAAACUCUCAAGGCAAUGGAGGGAGAGGCAAGAGACAGCACCCGUCUUCUACAUACCACCCCAAAAAAAGAAAGAAAUGAAAUUACCAGCUACGCUUCUACUUAAUUAUGUACGUGUAAGGCCUAAGCCUUUGCAAAUAACAACCAUCAGUAUUUGUUUGCCCACUGACGUUAGGAAAACAUUGGUGAGAGGUUGGUCUCACAGCAUUCAAAAUUGCAAGCUAAGCUUUUUGCUGUUGUCAUUAUGCUCAGAUCCACCAGAACAAUGGAGUUUAAAACAAUGAUUGAUUCUGUUCUAAACACAUACAUGAAUUAAAAGCUGAGAAUGUAAACAUGCAUUUAUUGAAGAGAAAAGGGUGUUUCUAAACUUGGUUCAGUUCCCUCAACUAAGAUCAACUUGGUAUUCAUAUACAUGUAUCAGAAUAUGUUGGAAUGUACGGACUGUGUUAUAUAUCAAACUGUUUUCUGCACUUAAACAUACUCUACACACACUUUUAGGGCCACUGUUACAGCAUGAAAGGGGUGAGUGCUGUUUUAGUUCCUACCAUUUACGAAUAAAACAUGCAAACAAUUCUACCUAAUGCUAAAAAGAAACAUGUAAGAGCUUUAAUAUUUUGAUCAUUCAACCGAAAUUAUAAUACACAAUAACUAGUCCAAAUAGGACACUUUUUCAAUGGAAAGAUCUUGACAAUCUGACUUGUGAAGCACUGCUACCUAUCAGAUGAAAAGAUUCCAGGAUAUGAAACGUACCUGGUUUUCAAAGACACAUAUUAAUAUCUUGUGAUGUUUUCAUUUCCAAAGAAACAGUAGAAGCUGAGAAUGAGGGGGUUUUAUCCAGAUGUUUAUAUCAAAAUAAUUAUGGCUUGCCUUCGAUGAAUAGUAUUGCCUUCUGAUUUGUAACUUCCUAAAACCCACUAAGUCCAAAGUCAAGCCAUCUAGUUAUUCAAACUUCCUAGAAGUUUCCAUUUGCUUACAAGUUGAGUUGGUCCGUAUCAUACUUGGAACCAAAACCAAAAAGUUCAAAGGUCUUCAGCAGCUCAGGUUUUAAAACCUACUUUGAACUCACUUAAACAACUUUCUUUGGGAGUUGAAAUUCUCGCAGAUGUUUUAAAUUCUCACAGAUAUUUGCGUAAUGGGAAUGUAGAUAACAUGAAUGUUAGAUGAGCCUGCAAUUGCCAUCUCCCAUUUUUCCAAAUUUUUUUUGCAUGGUUUAGUGCCUCCUAUCCUCCUAUCCGUUCGUCACUUUGCUAAAUAACCACUUUAAGCAACCUACUGUCAAGCGUAUAAAUUGCCUCUGAGAAAAUGACUAGUGCAGAGAAUUCAUUGUUAGUUAUACUACUUUUAUGUGUUUAAAACACUUAUUAUAUGCUUCUAAGGAAAAAAAAGAAGUUACCUUUCUGCAGCAAUGUCAAGGAUAUCACAGCUUGCAUAACCCAUAAUAGUACAUGAGUGAACAAAUUGUAGAAGAGCUGUGUCUCUUCUACAAAAAUCUCUCCUCGACCUGUUAGGCUGAUUUUUCUUUAACUUUGCUCCACAUAUGGGCAACCUAUUACACAGAAGUUUUUAUAGGCCUGCUUGGCUGAGCAGAGAAGCUGCAAACCUGUAAUACUAAUAUAAUCCUGUUGUGUCACAGUGAGGGAGGGAAGGGCAAACAGUCCAUCAGAGGCAGUAAACCUGAUUCUGUGCAGCAAUGUGCAUCAUGCUGAUGUCUUGGUUCGUGGCUCUUGGGUCCUUCACUGCUGCAUGAAUCAAUCUGUUUAAAAAUAUUUUUAUGCAAUUGGAAAUGUACAUUACUAGAAGUAAAUUGUAUACUUUUUAGAGCAUAUGGUUUAUAUUCAAAGUUUUAUCUGAUUUACCAAAGG